rnacentral:misc_RNA from 1 species
GAUGAAGAACGUAGCGAAAUGCGAUAAGUAAUGUGAAUUGCAGAAUUCAGUGAAUCAUCGAAUCUUUGAACGCACAUUGCGCCCGCCAGCAUUCUGGCGGGCAUGCCUGUUCGAGCGUCAUUUCAACCCUCGAGCCCCCCCGGGGGCCUCGGUGUUGGGGGACGGCACACCAGCCGCCCCCGAAAUGCAGUGGCGACCCCGCCGCAGCCUCCCCUGCAUAGUAGCACACACCUCGCACCGGAGCGCGGAGGCGGUCACGCCGUAAAACGCCCAACUUUCUUAGAGUUGACCUCGGAUCAGGUAGGAAUACCCGCUGAACUUAAGCAUAUCAAUAAGCGGAGGA